rnacentral:tRNA from 1 species
GGAGGGUAGCUCAGUGGUAGAGCGCAUGCUUAGCAUGCACAAGGUCCUGGGUUCAACCCCCAGUACCUCCA